UGACGAAGUUUUCUUCGGCAGUUAACUGCAGCCGGUUUUUAAAUUCCUCGGCAAUUAACUGCCGCAUGGAUAU
rnacentral:pre_miRNA from 1 species